GACGAACGCUGGCGGCGUGCCUAAUACAUGCAAGUCGAGCGGACCUCUUCGGAGGUCAGCGGCGGACGGGUGAGUAACACGUGGGCAACCUGCCUGUAAGACUGGGAUAACACCGGGAAACCGGUGCUAAUACCGGAUAAUCCUUUUCCUCACAUGAGGGGAAGCUGAAAGACGGUUUCGGCUGUCACUUACAGAUGGGCCCGCGGCGCCUUAGCUAGUUGGUGGGGUAACGGCCCACCAAGGCGACGAUGCGUAGACGACCUGAGAGGGUGAUCGGCCACACUGGGACUGAGACACGGCCCAGACUCCUACGGGAGGCAGCAGUAGGGAAUCUUCCGCAAUGGACGAAAGUCUGACGGAGCAACGCCGCGUGAGCGAAGAAGGCCUUCGGGUCGUAAAGCUCUGUUGUCAGGGAAGAACACGUAUCGGAGUAACUGCCGGUACCUUGACGGUACCUGACCAGAAAGCCACGGCUAACUACGUGCCAGCCGCCGCCGUAAUAC
rnacentral:rRNA from 1 species